rnacentral:rRNA from 1 species
CCUACGGGGGACAGCAGUGAGGAAUAUUGGUCAAUGGCCGGAAGGCUGAACCAGCCAAGCCGCGUGAAGGACGAAGGUGCCAAGCAUUGUAAACUUCUUUUGUCAAGGGACAAAAUCAGGCUCGAGAGCCUGACCGAGGGUACUUGAAGAAAAAGCAUCGGCUAACUCCGUGCCAGCAGCCGCGGUAAUACGGAGGUGGCAAGCGGUGUCCGGAUUUACUGGGUGUAAAGGGCGUGUAGCCGGGAAGGCAAGUCAGCUGUGAAAUCUGGAGGCUCAACCUCCAAAUUGCCUUUGAAACUGUUUUUCUUGAGUACUGGAGAGGCAGACGGAAUUCGUGGUGUAGCGGUGAAAUGCGUAGAUAUAACGCGGAACACCAGUUGCGAAGGCGGUCUGCUGGACAGCAACUGACGGUGAGGCGCGAAAGCGUGGGGAGCAAACAGGAUUAGAUACCCGUGUAGUC